rnacentral:lncRNA from 1 species
GCCAGACGGGCGCUGCUCCCUGGGUUGUUGCCUUGGGAAUGAGGCGACCUGAUCAGGGAUGGUGCGGCCAGGUCGAUCGACCUUUUGGGACCUUUGUCUCCCUAUUCUUAAAUCGAAGGAGGAGCUGGCUGAGGUCACUGCCAGCGCUGAUCCCCGGGUGACCUCCUUCUCAGAACCUCUGCUGUGAGGACUGGACGUAGGGGGCUUGGCACGGGUAGAGGCAACAGGAGCUGCCAGGGACAGGGAGGAGAGACGAUGCAGAGUCACUGCUGAAGUAAGUCAGGGUCCGAGAACCCAAACCCCAGAUUAAAACAGAUAACACAAAUUAACAACAGGAUGGGUUCAAGGAGAAUCCUUAGAGACCGCUGGGCCAGGGUGUCAACAGCCACAGCGGGGAGAGCUCUGAGGUUCAGGAUAUGGGAAACGUGUCCCCGAAAUGCCAGCCUUCGGGUGACCGUAGAGGCUCCAUGGGUCCACUUGGCCAGUACUGUGGGGGCCCUCAAGUCCUGGGCCUGCAGGGGAAAGCACAGUUUUCUAACAGCCAUCCGUACUGAGCUGCUGCUUCUGGGCACAGUGACCCAGAGUCUGGGGGUCUGAGCACCUCUAAAGGCUGGGUUAAUGGGUUCUGAAGAUCUGCUUAGUGACGUCAGUCAGGACAAGGACUGAAAGGCAAAACAGGAGGGCAAAACAGGUAGCCGGAGAGUGGCGCAGGGAGCGCAACACAUGCCUGGGCUCCCACCUCUGUUAGAAGGCCACCCACUGAGCAUACCCCAUCCUCCCUAGGGGCCUCCCAGUGCUGGGCUGGUGAAAAGAGGGCAGAGAGGAGAUGGGGCGUGGGCAAAUCACUUCCUCUCUGGGCCUCAAUUUCCCCAUCUGAGAGGCAUCCAACUCUAGGGAAUCAUAAUGUCUUUUUCUAAGUUGUAAUGUCGCGCUGCAGAAACCUCCACCCAUGGUUUUGCUUCUGUGGGUGUGACCAGCCUCACGUCAUCCCCCACCCCAGGGACUCCUCAUGUAGGAGGGGGCUCUCCAGCACUCUCGUCUGCUCACACCACACUCAGCCACUUCAACAGGGCUGCCACAGCAAAGAGAACACCAAAGCUGCUCCAGCCCACCCAGGCUGGAGGGCUAGGGGACACCCUGUCAUGCCGUACUUCCACGUGUCUGAGUUCAACCCCCAAGGCCUCCACCUGAAGUCCUGGCUGCCACACCCCGGAAGCGUGAGGCAUGAGCUGAGGGGACGCAGACUGAUGACAUCUUUAAAGGCACAGAGAUUGCGUCCCAAAAAAGUGAAAGAUUCUGGUCACCUGCAACACCUCCCCGAGCCAUUCCGCGUUGGCCUGGCCUCUCUGCGCCCAGUGUGGAGAAGGAAGGGGCAGAUGGGCACAGCUCCAAGAGGACCAGAUCAGCACCAGGGCGGGCGUGUGCUCUGAAACAAAGCCCACCCCAGGAGGGGAAAAACAAGCUCUGAAGGCUCACCGACACUUUUGCAAACAUCCAACUUCACGGAGACCCUAGCCCUGUGAACUGCCAGAAUCACCCACAGCAAUAGGUCCUGAGCACGCUGACGCCCAGCUGGCAGAGGGGGCUGCCCAGGUCUCAGCACGACAGCAAACUCCUGCAAAACUAGAGUGCUCACCAUGACCCCAGCCUGGGCAGCACACCUUCCUAGGCCAGGCCCACCUGACAUCUUCAAGGCCGGGUCUGGAUGCAGUGGCAAAGCCUCAAUUGUCAAUUCAGUGACCUCCUCAGCCACCUCCUUCCAGGGCCAGAGCCAGAGAGAAGGGAUAGAGGCCAGGUGGAGGCCCACCUUCCCAGCUGAUGCCCACCUGCUCCUCAGCCACUGUUCAGGCCUGAGUCGCUGAGCCAGCAGCAAGAUGUGAAUGAGGUUUGGGGAGGAUCUAGAGGGGCCAGGCUGGGGAGGUUUCACUGCCCAGAACCAGGGACAGUUCUCUCAGGUGGUCUGGAAGGAGUGGGUGAACAGCUGCUUAUCAGAAAACAUUACCUAAUUGGGGCCUAACUGGGAAGGUUUAUGGGGCCAGGCAGGGGGGCUCCCCGGGGGGGAUGGUGAAAGCCGCUCAUGAGUCAUUUGAAACUGAGCCGGACAAAGAGCUUAAGGAGAAAUGAUCCCACCCAGUCUGCCAGCCAUAGGUAGAAUGAGCUCAUGGACUCUGGGGCGCACAUGAAUGCAUGUGUGUGUGUGUGAGUGUGUGCGUGCGUGUGUGUGCAUGAGAGAGGUGUAGAGAGGGAAGGGAAGAGCGGGGAGGAAAAGAAGAGAAGAGAGAAAAAGCUGGUAGUCACACAGCUGGGACUCAGAAACUGAGCCCAGCUCUCCCCUGGGUGUGGAGCCGCCACUGUGGGCCACAUUACUGCAUGGGCAGGCUGCCCCCUGCAGGUCGGCGAGGGAAGGGCCCCGUAUCUCAGUCAACAUCGUGGUUCAGCAAUCCAGCCAGCAUCCUGGUCUAGCAUCCUCGUCCAGCAUCCCAGCCAGCUUCCUGGCCAGCAUCAGGCCAGCAUAAGCAUACCUUCUCUGCGGUGCCCAGCACAGGACCUGUUCUGGGAUAAAUGCCAAAUGGGCAUGGAGUGUUUUCUUCAGUGGGACACCAGCUGUUCACACCACUUCAUCCUCUGUGAGAUGUGUGUUGGAGAUGGAUGCAUAAUAAACAUUUUUAACAUGUUUAUUCAAAUGUUUACAACUUAUUUUGAAAGAAUGGCAGAUCCACAUGCACCUGUGAAAUAAUAAAGAGACUCCUCGUAUCCUUCACCUGGUUUCUCCCAAUGAUAACUUCUUGCAAACUGUAGGACAGUACGACAAGCCAGCAAGCUGGCAUUGACAAAAUCCAUUGACCUUGCUGCCCGCACUCAUCUGUG